rnacentral:rRNA from 1 species
UACGUAGGGGGCAAGCGUUGUCCGGAUUUAUUGGGCGUAAAGAGCGUGUAGGCGGCCACACAGGUCAGCUGUGAAAACUCGAGGCUCAACCUCGAGACGUCGGUUGAAACCGUAUGGCUAGAGUCCGGAAGAGGAGAGUGGAAUUCCCGGUGUAGAGGUGAAAUUCGUAGAUAUCGGGAGGAACACCAGUGGCGAAGGCGGCGAUCUGGGGUCGAUACUGACGCUGAGGUGCGAAAGCGUGGGGAGCAAACAGGG